CGGGUGAGGGCUGCCUGGGCUGUGAGGCAGUCCUCCCGAAGUGGAGCGCUGGGAAGGUAAUUAUCCCAGCAGCUACAGGGCUCAAAGCCGUUACGGCGUUCUAUGCAAAUCGCACAUCCCCGUGGUGGCGACUUUGCAUGCGGAUGUCAUCCAUAUCAACUUUCGAUGCCAGUUUCUGCGCCUACCAUGGUGACCACGGGUAAUGGGGAAUCGGGGUUCCAUUCCGUAUAGGGACCCUGAGAAACGGCUACCACAUGCAAGGAAGGCAGCAGGCGCACAAAUGACGCACUCCCGACGCGGGAAGGUCGUGA